rnacentral:rRNA from 1 species
AGCGAACGCUGGCGGCAGGCUUAACACAUGCAAGUCGAACGGUCCUUCGGGAUAGUGGCGGACGGGUGAGUAACACGUGGGAACGUACCCUUAGGUUCGGAACAACACAGGGAAACUUGUGCUAAUACCGGAUAAGCCCUUCGGGGGAAAGAUUUAUCGCCUUUGGAGCGGCCCGCGUCCGAUUAGCUUGUUGGUGAGGUAAUGGCUCACCAAGGCCACGAUCAGUAGCUGGUCUGAGAGGAUGGCCAGCCACACUGGGACUGAGACACGGCCCAGACUCCUACGGGAGGCAGCAGUGGGGAAUCUUGCGCAAUGGGCGAAAGCCUGACGCAGCCAUGCCGCGUGGAUGAUGAAGGUCUUAGGAUUGUAAAAUCCUUUCACCGGGGACGAUAAUGACGGUACCCGGAGAAGAAGCCCCGGCUAACUUCGUGCCAGCCGCCGCAGUAA